rfam:Solanum tuberosum cultivar DM 1-3 516 R44 scf00204_44, whole genome shotgun sequence.
AUAUGAUGUGAUGAUGCGUAUCCACCUAUUCUGUAGGGUUCAAUGAUGAAUUCAAAUACAUGCACUACCAUCUGAUCUUAU